GGGUGCUUGAGACUGUGUGUCUCAGGUAUUCACCAGAAGGCAGACAGAGAAAAGCCCCACCUGACUAUAAAUCAAAGUGAGGCCACCUCUAUGCAUGAACACCAUAAGGGUAGCCUCUUACCUGUUGAAAAUCAACACCGGAGGCUGGCGAUG
rfam:Citrobacter rodentium ICC168, complete genome